GAAUGUAAUCUAACAACUUACAUAGAAAAUUAAGUUUAAUCUCCAUUUUUUAGAGAAUUUUGUUCUUUUUCUGUAAAAAUACAUGUACUUAUAGAACAUAUACAAAGUCUGAAUAUUGUAGUACAAUGUAAUAUCAAUUUCAGGUCAUCAAGAUCGAAAAAAUGGAUGUACAUAAAAAGGCAACUUGAGAAAGAAGUUAAUACUUUAACUCCAGCUAUUGCUAAAAAGCAUAAACCCAAUUUUCGCAUUUGUGAAAACACGAAUUCUGAAAGCUUUGGGUUAGAACUUCAGAGUGAUGAAGCUUCUAAUGAUGCCUUAUAUGUUAACCGACCUAAAUAUCAGGAAAUAUAUCGGAUUUUCCCUGGCUAGUGCUGGAGAUAGAGAGGGUGGAAGAAAGUCCAGGCCGGAACCGAUAUCAGGACAAAAAUAAGAUGUGCGUGUGAUAAAAAAUGUUUGUUAUUUAAUUAAUAUAUGUGGGGAUUGUUCAAUUAA